rnacentral:rRNA from 1 species
GACAGAGGGGGCAAGCGUUGCUCGGAAUCACUGGGCGUAAAGGGCGUGUAGGCGGGAAGGAAAGUCAGAUGUGAAAUCCCCAGGCUCAACCUGGGAACUGCAUUUGAAACUGCCUUUCUUGAGUAACGGAGAGGAAAGUGGAAUUCCUGGUGUAGAGGUGAAAUUCGUAGAUAUCAGGAGGAACACCAGUGGCGAAGGCGGCUUUCUGGACGGUAACUGACGCUGAGACGCGAAAGCGUGGGGAGCAAACAGG